rnacentral:rRNA from 1 species
AUUGAACGCUGGCGGCAUGCCUUACACAUGCAAGUCGAACGGUAACAGGUCUUCGGAUGCUGACGAGUGGCGAACGGGUGAGUAAUACAUCGGAACGUGCCCAGACGUGGGGGAUAACGAGGCGAAAGCCUUGCUAAUACCGCAUACGAUCUAAGGAUGAAAGCAGGGGACCGCAAGGCCUUGCGCGUUUGGAGCGGCCGAUGGCAGAUUAGGUAGUUGGUGGGAUAAAAGCUUACCAAGCCGACGAUCUGUAGCUGGUCUGAGAGGACGACCAGCCACACUGGGACUGAGACACGGCCCAGACUCCUACGCGAGGCAGCAGUGGGGAAUUUUGGACAAUGGGCGAAAGCCUGAUCCAGCAAUGCCGCGUGCAGGAUGAAGGCCUUCGGGUUGUAAACUGCUUUUGUACGGAACGAAAAGGCUCUGGCUAAUACCUGGGGCACAUGACGGUACCGUAAGAAUAAGCACCGGCUAACUACGUG